rnacentral:rRNA from 1 species
ACUGUCUCAAUGCNNAACAUGAAAAUUAAUAUUUAAGUAAAAAAGCUUAAAUGGAACGGAGGGACGAUAAGACCCUAUAAAGCUUUAUAAUACGUUUCUCUUACACAAAUUAUAAAUUGUUAACUUGUUAAAGAAUAAGUAUUAUUUUACUGGGGCGGUAAAAGUAUACCAUAGACUAACUGCUUUUGUUAUUAAAAACAAUAAUAAUUGGAUAAUCGAUUGAUCCAUUAAUAAUGAUCAUAAGGCCAAGUUACUUUAGGGAUAACAGCGUAAUUUUUUUUGAGAGUUCUAAUCGAAAAAAAAGUUUGCGACCUCGAUGNNGAAUUAAGGAAGCC